rnacentral:rRNA from 1 species
UACGGAGGGGGCUAGCGUUGUUCGGAAUUACUGGGCGUAAAGGGUGCGUAGGUGGUUUGUUAAGUCUGCUGUGAAAUCCCCGGGCUCAACCUGGGAAUGGCAGUGGAUACUGGCAAGCUAGAGUGCGGUAGAGGGUAGUGGAAUUCCCGGUGUAGCAGUGAAAUGCGUAGAGAUCGGGAGGAACACCAGUGGCGAAGGCGGCUACCUGGACCAGCACUGACACUGAAGCACGAAAGCGUGGGGAGCAAACAGG